UACGUAGGGUGCAAGCGUUGUCCGGAAUUACUGGGCGUAAAGGGCGCGUAGGCGGCCUUCUAAGUCGGACGUGAAAUCCCUCGGCUCAACCGGGGAACUGCGUCCGAUACUGGAGGGCUCGAAUCCGGGAGAGGGAUGUGGAAUUCCAGGUGUAGCGGUGAAAUGCGUAGAUAUCUGGAGGAACACCGGUGGCGAAGGCGGCAUCCUGGACCGGCAUUGACGCUGAGACGCGAAAGCGUGGGGAGCAAACAGG
rnacentral:rRNA from 1 species